rnacentral:lncRNA from 1 species
CAGUAAGUUCAUUUGUCUUUUAUCGAAUGCAAAGGCCAGUCAGCUCCAAUGACUUAAGUUGAAACUCUAAAAUUCAAAACAGUUUUGUCAUAGUGUUAACCAACAGGAAGGUAGGAAAAUUGGUGAAAGCUAGACCAAUUAAUUUAUAUCCGAAGUAGCAAGAAUAAGGUUAUUAAUGACCAAAAUUAAACACAAGCAGGAAAGCAGAAAGGCUAGCCGGAGGAAAUUAUAGAUUAAGGACAAAUCACAAGAAAUCUGAAGGAGAUAUUAUCUGAAAUCAAUGAAUGAAGUGGAAGAAGCAGGGCAAGUAGCGGAGAAAGCAAAGAUAAAUCCCAACAAAUAUCGAUGAAAGUGUGAGGAAUACACUUUUGCAUGCCUCCAUUACAUAUGGAGCAUCCUUCAGUGUCCCAUAUGAAGUUUAGGUGAGACUUCGUUCAAAUUCAUAUCAGCUGGAUGUUGUCAUUUUCCUGUAAGUAAAUAGGCAAUAACACAUGAUAAAGUAGAUAGAAAGGAUGAAGGUUGAUGAGAUAGUUGGGAGAGAUAAAGUCAGCCAUGUUUAACUGUCAAAGCUUCAUAAUGAUCUUUACCAAUACAUAAGCCGAUUAUACUAUAACAAAGGAAAGCAGGAGCAAGUAUAUCGAGGAAAACAGAAUUAAGGUGAAUAGGUUGUAACAGAACUGGAUAAGUCUCAAGCAAGUAUAUAUUAAUUGUAAUCCCAAUCAAACUUAAGCUUAUCCAAGUCUCAAUCAUCUUAUGCAAAACGUCGAAUGAAAGGGAUGCACAAUAUUUAACUUAACACUUUUAAAUCUUAGUUAUAUAAAGGAAUCAGAUACCAAAAUCAUAAGCUUGAAACGUAAGAUAAAAUGAGGGCUAUCUUAAAGUAAAACCAUAUAGAAAUUACUAAGCAACUAAUGUAAAUUCAAAUUGGUACAAACUUGUCACUAUUAUUUUGUUACAAAUGUAAUUCUCCAAGAAAACUAUUACUGAACACAUCAGUUAGCAUAUAUCACUAUAUAACACAUACAAAUAUUGCAGCUCUUACUUCUGUCAAGGUUUCACAGUUGCUUUAGUGAUUGUGCAAAAUAAUAUAGGCAAGUCCCUCAGUAAAUUAAAG